rnacentral:rRNA from 1 species
CCUACGGGAGGCAGCAGUGAGGAAUAUUGGUCAAUGGGCGGAAGCCUGAACCAGCCAAGUAGCGUGCAGGAUGACGGCCCUACGGGUUGUAAACUGCUUUUAUACGGGAAUAACGCGCCUUACGUGUAGGGCUUUGCAUGUACUGUCUGAAUAAGGACAGGCUAAUUCCGUGCCAGCAGCCGCGGUAAUUCGGAAGGUCCGGGCGUUAUCCGGAUUUAUUGGGUUUAAAGGGAGCGUAGGCCGCAUGUCAAGCGUGCUGUGAAAUGUCCGGGCUCAACCCGGGCCUUGCAGCGCGAACUGGCGUGCUUGAGUCCGCGUAAAGCAGGCGGAAUUCGUCGUGGAGCGGUGAAAUGCUUAGAUAUGACGAAGAACCCCGAUUGCGAAGGCAGCUUGCUGCAGCCGAACUGACGCUGAUGCUCGAAAGUGCGGGGAUCGAACAGGAUUAGAUACCCCAGUAGUC